UACGUAGGCGGAAAAUUAAGUCAGUAGUGAAAUCCCGCAGCUUAACUGUGGAACUGUUAUUGAUACUGGUUUUCUUGAAUAUAGUUGAGGUAGGCGGAAUGUGUAAUGUAGCGGUGAAAUGCUUAGAUAUUACACAGAACACCGAUUGCGAAGGCAGCUUACUAAGCUAUGAUUGACGCUGAGGUAAGAAAGCGUGGGGAGCGAACAGGAUUAGAUACCCUGGUAGUCC
rnacentral:rRNA from 1 species